rnacentral:ncRNA from 2 species
AGAGUUAAACAGUGCGUGAAAUUGUUGAAAGGGAAACGUUUGACACCAGCUUUGCGGGUGGGAAAUCAGUCGCGUUGCAGUGGGGAGUGGCAAGGGUUCAGACCGCAAGGCUGGCCUUUGUCUCAUCUCGGUUGCGGGCGAUGCACUUUUUCAUCUGCAGGUCAACAUCAGUUUCCUCCGCUGGACAAAACCUCGAGAGAAUGUAGCAGCUCUGGCUGUGUUAUAGCUCUGAGGCGAUACAGUGGUGGGGACUGAGGUUUCGCAGUGUGUGCUCUCGGGCAAGGCUGACUGGGUGCUACGGAAUGGUUCAGUGUACAAUGCUUGCAUUUUGCGCUGAGUCUGUUCUGUACUCGCUCAACUCGGUUCUUCCACGCUUAGGAUGUUGACAUAAUGGUUUUAAACGACC